rnacentral:rRNA from 1 species
CGUCCAGACUCCUACGGGAGGCAGCAGUGAGGAAUAUUGGUCAAUGGCCGUAAGGCUGAACCAGCCAAGUAGCGUGAGGGAAGACUGCCCUAUGGGUUGUAAACCUCUUUUAUGCGGGGAUAAAGGUGUCCACGUGUGGAUGUUUGCAGGUACCGCAUGAAUAAGGACCGGCUAAUUCCGUGCCAGCAGCCGCGGUAAUACGUAGGGGGCAAGCGUUAUCCGGAUUUACUGGGUGUAAAGGGAGCGUAGACGGCAUAGCAAGUCUGAAGUGAAAGCCCAAGGCUCAACCAUGGGACUGCUUUGGAAACUGUUAAGCUAGAGUGCUGGAGAGGUAAGCGGAAUUCCUAGUGUAGCGGUGAAAUGCAUAGAUAUCACGCAGAACCCCGAUUGCGAAGGCAGCAUACCGGUGCACAGCUGACGCUCAGGCACGAAAGCGUGGGUAUCGAACAGGAUUAGAUACCCCGGUAC